rnacentral:rRNA from 1 species
CGCGUGGUUGCCAUGGGCGCAGCCUGAUGCAGCCAUGCCGCGUGUAUGAAGAAGGCCUUCGGGUUGUAAGUACUUUCAGCGAGGAGGAAGGUGUUGUGGUUAAUAACCGCAGCAAUUGACGUUACUCGCAGAAAAAGCACCGGCUAACUCCGUGCCAGCAGCCGCGGUAAU